UAACUAUGUUUAUCUAGAUAUGAAUGCUCAAAACCCUAACCUCAAUCUCAGAGAAAUGCCCCAAAUGAAUAUCAAUGGUAGAGGUGUUCAUUUAGAGAUCAGAGAUUCUAGCAUUGGAGGUUACGAUUCGAACAUGGAGGAUGUUGAGAAUGGAGUCAGAGAACCAAACCCUUUGAUGUACCAUCUCCUUGCACCUGAAUCAACCACAAGUACUUCAAAUCAGGUAACUUCAAGGGAUGAAAAUAUUCCAAAAGCAUAGCAAGGAAUCCUGAAGAGGCGGAGUGUCUAGCUGUUCUAGAAGCAAUCACUUGGGCUUCGCAGCAAAGGAAUUACCUCCAUAAGUCUCUACAGCGAUGCUAAAAAAGUUAUGGAUUAUCUGAAGAAUAAAGAUAACAACCUAUGCUGGUUUAAUUCAACUAUCAUGGAUGAUUGUUAUUACCUGUUAGACUCAUUUUCCUUCAUUAAAACUAGUCAUUUAAAGAGAAAUUUUAAUUCUAUUGCUGAUAAAUUUGCGAAACAUUGUAGAAGAUUUAAUAUCUGUAAUGAGUGGUGGGGAAUCUAUCCUGAUUUCCUACCACAACAUUUGUAAUUUUCCUUCUUCAAUACAAUGAUUUAUUUAGCAAAGAAAAAAAGAUAA